rnacentral:rRNA from 1 species
UACGGAGGGUGCGAGCGUUGUCCGGAAUCACUGGGCGUAAAGCGCGUGUAGGCGGGACGGCACGUCGGUCGCUGAAAUCCCCCGGCUCAACCGGGGAACGGGCGCCGAUACGACCGCCCUGGAGGGACGUAGGGGGACCUGGAACUUCCGGUGGAGCGGUGAAAUGCGUUGAGAUCGGAAGGAACGCCCGUGGCGAAAGCGAGGUCCUGGACGUUUUCUGACGCUGAGACGCGAAAGCCAGGGGAGCGAACGGG